rnacentral:lncRNA from 1 species
GAAAUUCUUUUGUCAAGUGUUCUGAUAUAUUAAAAAUUUAAAAAUUGACUACUGAAACUCUUUUGUCAAGUAUUUCGGUAAACUAAUGUAGGAGUUAAAAACAUUUCAAUUUAAAAAAAAAAAUUAAUAAAUAAAAAGGAUAGAAAUGGAAUAUUUUGAUAAAUAUUAGGGUGUAUGGAUAAUAGUAGGGGUAUAAAGUAAGACUUUCCUUAAAAGACCCCUAUAUCACAUCGAAGGAGUGUGUUGGACUAGUGAGUCGAUUCCCUAUGCAGAAAGGUAUAAUAAUAGUCAUUCUGAUAUCGGAUGCUAAACCUGUACAAUUUUUGCUUAACCUUUUCGAUGUGCGACUUCUUCGAUACGCGCAACCACUCUUCC